rnacentral:rRNA from 1 species
GGACCCGCACAAGCGGUGGAGCAUGUGGUUUAAUUCGACGCAACGCGAAGAACCUUACCAGGGCUUGACAUCCCUUGCUAUCUGUGGAAACAUGGAGUUCUAAGCUUCGGUUUAGACGAGGAGACAGGUGGUGCAUGGUUGUCGUCAGCUCGUGUCGUGAGAUGUUGGGUUAAGUCCCGCAACGAGCGCAACCCCUAUUUUCAGUUGCCAGCGAGUAAAGUCGGGAACUCUGAAGAAACUGCCGGUGACAAACCGGAGGAAGGUGGGGACGACGUCAAAUCAUCAUGCCCUUUAUGUCCUGGGCUACACACGUGCUACAAUGGCCGGUACAGAGGGCGGCGAAACCGUGAGGUGGAGCGAAUCCCAAAAAGCCGGUCUCAGUUCGGAUUGCAGGCUGCAACCCGCCUGCAUGAAGUCGGAAUCGCUAGUAAUCGCGAGUCAGCAUAUCGCGGUGAAUACGUUCCCGGGUCUU